GCCUCCGCCGCCUCAGCUUCCCGAGCGAGCCCUGCGGCCGCCGGAGCAGCUCCCGCGGCGGAGCAGGAGCCGGAUGGUCAGAGGAGCCCGGCAGCCCCAGCAGCCGCGGAGUCGCCUGGCCCCCAGACUGACUGGCACAGUGGAGAAACCGCCUCGAAAACGGAGAAGCAGGGUCUGGCUCUGUCAUCCAGGCUGUAGUGCAGUGGUGCAAUCUCAGCAUACUGCAACCUCCACCUCCUGGGCUCAAGCCACCCAGCCAAUUCAGCCUCUGGAGUAGCUGGGACUACAAGCGCCUGACACCUCACCCAGCUCUUUUUUUUUUUUUUUUUUUUGUAGAGACAAGGUUUGGCCAUGUUGCCCAGGCUGGUCUCAAACUCCUGGGCUCAAAUGAUCCAACCACCUUGGCCUACUAAAGUGCUGUGAUUACAAGUGUGAGCUGCCAUGCCUGGCUGUAAAUAAAAUUGUUACUAAAAUUAUUUUCACUUACUUUUUCCUGAGACAAAGUCUUACUUUGUUGCCCGUACUGGAGUGCAGUGAUGUGAUCUUGACUCACUGCAAUCUCCGCCUCCUGGGUUCAAGCAAUUCUCUUUCCUCAGCCUCCCGAUUAGCUGGGAUUACAGGCGCCUGCCACCAUGCCCGGCUAAUUUUUGUAUUUUUAGUAGAGACGGGGUUUCAACAUGUUGGCCAGGCUGGUCUUGAACUCCUGGCCUCAAGUGCUCUGUCUGACUAGGCCUCCCAAAGUGCUGGGAUUACAGGUGUGAGCCACCGGGCCUGGCCUUCACUUACUUCUUUUUCCUUUUUAUUUUUCUUCUGAGACAGGGCUUGGCUCUGUUGUCAAGGCUGAAGUGAAGUGGUGCAAUCACAGCUCACUGCAGCCUCGACCUGGUAAUCCUUCCACCUCAGCCUCCCAAGUACCUGGGACUACAGAUGUGCACCACCAUGCCAGGCUAACUUUUUAUUUUUUGUAAGAGACAGGGUCUCACUGUGUUGCUCAGGCUGGUCUCCUGUGCUCAAGUGAUGCGCCAGCCUUGGCCUCCCAAAGUGCUAGGAUUACAGGCGUGAGCCACCAUACCCAGCCUUUCUUUUUAUUUUUUCUAAUAUGGCUACUAGAAAAUUAAAAGCUGCAUACAUUUAACUUGCAUUGUAUUUCUUUGCAUUGUAUUUCUUUUGGAUAGCUCUCAUUUAACUCUCAUUACCCCACUGCCAGACUCUUCAGUAGCCUUCUGACUGGUUUCCCUACCUUGAAUCUGUAAUUCCCUCCCUGUACUGUGCAAAUCGAUCUUGUAAUUCUCAUGCUUAGGAUCCCUCUGUGCUUCCUCAUUGCUUAUUGAA
rnacentral:lncRNA from 1 species